rnacentral:rRNA from 1 species
GUGGGGAAUCUUGCGCAAUGGGCGAAAGCCUGACGCAGCCAUGCCGCGUGAAUGAUGAAGGUCUUAGGAUUGUAAAAUUCUUUCACCGGGGACGAUAAUGACGGUACCCGGAGAAGAAGCUCCGGCUAACUUCGUGCCAGCAGCCGCGGUAAUACGAAGGGGGCUAGCGUUGCUCGGAAUUACUGGGCGUAAAGGGCGCGUAGGCGGACAGCUUAGUCAGAGGUGAAAGCCCAGGGCUCAACCUUGGAAUUGCCUUUGAUACUGGCUGUCUUGAGUUUGAGAGAGGUGAGUGGAACUCCGAGUGUAGAGGUGAAAUUCGUAGAUAUUCGGAAGAACACCAGUGGCGAAGGCGACUCACUGGCCCAAUACUGACGCUGAGGCGCGAAAGCGUGGGGAGCAAACAGGAUUAGAAACCCGGGUAGUCC